rnacentral:misc_RNA from 1 species
GAUGAAGAACGUAGCGAAAUGCGAUACUUGGUGUGAAUUGCAGAAUCCCGUGAACCAUCGAGUCUUUGAACGCAAGUUGCGCCCGAAGCCAUUAGGCCGAGGGCACGCCUGCCUGGGCGUCACACGUCGUUGCCCCCCCAUCUACUCCUUCGGGAUUGCGGGGGGCGGAUGAUGGCCUCCCGUGCGCCUCGUCGCGCGGUUGGCAUAAAUGCCAAGUCCUCGGCGACGCACGCCACGACAAUCGGUGGUUGCGAAACCUCGGUUGCCCGUCGUGUGCGGUCGUCGCGCAUCGAGGGCUCGAAAGAAUUGCCGGGCUCCGGCUCGGCUUUCAACGCGACCCCAGGUCAGGCGGGGUUACCCGCUGAAUUUAAGCAUAUCAAUAAGCGGAGGA